rnacentral:tRNA from 3 species
AGGGGCGGUCCAAACAGCAAGAACUGCUAACUCUCGCAUCCGAGUCUAAAACCUCGGCCCCCUU